GUGUAUAAUAUUUUAUAAAUAGUGUGUAUAUGUCAAUCCCAAUCUCCCAAUUUAUCCCUCCCCCCACCUCAACCCCCUGGUGACUGUAAGUUUGUUUCUGCAUCUGUAACUGUAUUUCUGUUUUGUAGGUAAGUUGCCUUAUACCAUGUUUUUUUUAGAUUCCACAUAUAAGUGUAUGCACCACAUCUGUAUGCAUUCCUCCGCUGAUGGACAUUUAGGCUGCUUCCAUGUCCUGGCUAUUGUAACCAGUGCUGCAAUGAACAUUGAGCAAUCCUAUGUUGGAUAAUCAGAGUAUUUCCAUGUUGCAGAAGAAGGUCAAUUGAGGCACCGAAAGAUCAACUCAUCUUGCCAAAGUUGCCCAGCUUGCCAGUAUCCGUGCCAAUGUCAUCUGAGGCUGGUAUUCUCAGAUACGAUCUAUCCAAGACAACUUAUUAAAGAGUCAUAUCAUCACCCUGCAAAGUACAUCCUUCAGUGCGUGUUCUGGUCCUCAGGUGGUUUCAAGGAUAUAAUUCUGCAAAUGAUAUACAGGUGCUUGUUUUCUUAAACAACUUUUUUUGGGGUGCUUCUUUCUUAUUUGUUAUUUUGAGAAAUGCAAUACUAACAAGAACUCUGAUUUAGUCACAUGAGUGAGUUCUGAAUGGUGCAACACUUACCUAGUUACUGAAAUGAAUCCACAUUCCCGUUCAGACAGUGACACAAGUUCACAACAGUCUCGAACGGCAGUAUUACCUCUUUGCUCAGUUCAUUUGCUCUACUUUGAGUUCUUUUCCUGUGCUCCACUAUUCUUCAUUUUUCUCUUCAAUUUUAGAAAAUACUGCACUGGGGAAAUGAAGUCCUUAAAAUAAAUUAUAUGAAAGAGCUAACAAAAAGCAUGAGCAGAAAUGGGUUACACCAUAUUUAUAUGAAAGCAUAGGUCUACUCUCCGUCUCUUCUCCAACUCCUGACCAAGCACCCUCCACCCCAGUGAACCACAAAACAAAAAGCUCAGGAGGAGACAAACGCCAAUCAUGAUAACAUACUUAUGAAUUUGUCUCAUGGAAGGUGAGAAUCAAGCUAAAUCUGAAACACCUCAUAAAUUCACAUAACAUUAAAUAUUGGAAGAAAGCAGGUCUCACUAAUAAAAGUGAUAUAGUCUAGGGGUUUGACUCCUAAACAGAAAACUACAUUUAUUAUUAGUUAAAAUGGUACAAAUUUAAGUUACUGUAUGAUGCUGUAUGUAAUGUUUGAUUGACAGCAAUGUAUAGAAAAUAUAUCCUAAAAAAACCCCAGGUCCGUGUGUUUACAGUUUCAUGUGGUGGUCAUGGCAAGAGUGUUAAGAAACAACUCUAACAAACACUAUGAGACAUGAAGGCUUGACUUUGCAACCAGAUACCGUAAGGGACAGAACAGUAUCAUUUAUGACAACUGAGGUUGCUCAUGUAAUUUCUUAAAAAUGCAUUUUUCAGAGGUCCUUUUCCUUUAAGAAAUCAAACUAGUAAUUCCAGUAUUUCUAAUAAUAAAGCAUUAAAUUUAUAUAAGGUUUCACCAAAAUUUUGAGGUGUUUUUUUUUAAAUUGAGGCAUAGUUAAAAACUGUGCUAGUUUUAGUUGUACAGCAAAGCGAUUAUUUUUUUUUCAGACUUUUUUCCAUUUUCCAUUACUACAAAGUAUAGAAUAUAGUUGUCCAUGUUAAUCAAUAAAUUUUUGUUGCUUAUUUUUAUAUAUAGUAACUUCUAUCUGUGAACCUCAUACUUCUAAUAUAUCCCU